rnacentral:rRNA from 1 species
UACGUAGGGGGCGAGCGUUGUCCGGAUUUAUUGGGCGUAAAGAGCGUGUAGGCGGCUUUACAGGUCCGUUGUGAAAACUCGAGGCUCAACCUCGAGACGCCGGUGGAAACCGUAAGGCUAGAGUCCGGAAGAGGAGAGUGGAAUUCCUGGUGUAGCGGUGAAAUGCGCAGAUAUCAGGAGGAACACCCGUGGCGAAAGCGGCUCUCUGGGACGGUACUGACGCUGAGACGCGAAAGCGUGGGUAGCAAACAGG